rnacentral:lncRNA from 1 species
UGGAAGGCGCUCAAGCAGGCUUUCCACUCGGAGCGGGAGAGGCGCCGCCGGGCAGAACUGUGCUCGGCUCUGCUGCCGCCACACUUCCGAGCCAUGAGGAGCAUCUGGAAGGCGGCGGGGCAGCCCGUGUCUGGCAAACGGAGGAUGCCAGUCGUGAGGAGGCUGUCGUCCAGAAGGCGAAGGUCAGCUCCUGCCCCACGCCCUCCAUCCUCACCAGAGCCACCAGAGCACGACGUUGGCAGGGACACCCCCAGCAUGCUGCCGUCACCGAUGCUGCAGCGUGCCAAUGACGAGCCAGAGAGCUCAGCUGGUGGGAAACACGUUGCUGGAGCGCCACCCACAGCCCGUGCCAUGCCACACACCUGUUGCUGCGUCUCUUCCCUCUCCCUCCUGGGUUUUCCUGGUGAGACGUCCCUGGGGAUGGGAAGAGGAAACCAAGUGCUGCCACUGGCUGCUGCAGCCACAGGCUCCCACGAGACAGCAGCCACAAGUGAGCAGCCAGCAGCAGGUGAAGAUGCAUCAGACACAAGCCUGCAUGAUCCUCGCGUGAAAGGCUUGGUCCUGAGUCUCCAGCGUCAAGUGGUGCAUGUCCUGCACACAUUCUGUCAGCAGCAGAAGGCAUAUCUGGAGAACGUCUUCCACAACCUCGGGCAGGGUGAGUCUGGAGUGCCCUGCUGCCCUGGUGCUCCUCACACUUCCUCGGAUCCCAAAGAGAACCCUCAGCUGUCCUCUGAUGGCAGGUGCGCCCCCGCCUGAGUGCCACCAUCGCUGGCCCUAGGAGCAACAGCUUUGCUACAGAGCCAUGGCACAUAUCUUUAUAUCAGAGGUUCCAGAUAUUUUUAGAGUUUAUACUAGAGAGAAGUUAAUAAAAUUAAAAAUAGCUUUUCUACCA